GGGCCCCCGUGAUGCCCAGCACUGGGCUCUGACCCCCUGUGAGGACAUGGUGCCCCCCGGGACCUUUGAUACCCGGGGGCCUGAGGGGCCC
ensembl:snoRNA